GGGUCGGUACCCAAGCGGCCAACGGGGGCAGGCUGUAAACCUGCUGGCAAUGCCUACGGAGGUUCGAAUCCUUCCCGGCCCA
rnacentral:tRNA from 2 species